rnacentral:tRNA from 1 species
GCACCGUUAGCUCAAUCGGGAGAGCGCCGCCCUGUCACGGCGGAGGCAGUCGGAUCGAAACCGAUACGGUGCGCCA